rnacentral:tRNA from 1 species
UGCCGGGGUGGCGGAACUGGCAGACGCACAGGACUUAAAAUCCUGCGGUGAGUGAUCACCGUAUCGGUUCGAUCCCGAUUCUCGGCAUC